AGAGUUUGAUCAUGGCUCAGGAUGAACGCCGGCGGUGUGCCUAAUACAUGCAAGUCGUACGCACUGGCCCAACUGAUUGAUGGUGCUUGCACCUGAUUGACGAUGGAUCACCAGUGAGUGGCGGACGGGUGAGUAACACGUAGGUAACCUGCCCCGGAGCGGGGGAUAACAUUUGGAAACAGAUGCUAAUACCGCAUAACAACAAAAGCCACAUGGCUUUUGUUUGAAAGAUGGCUUUGGCUAUCACUCUGGGAUGGACCUGCGGUGCAUUAGCUAGUUGGUAAGGUAACGGCUUACCAAGGCGAUGAUGCAUAGCCGAGUUGAGAGACUGAUCGGCCACAAUGGAACUGAGACACGGUCCAUACUCCUACGGGAGGCAGCAGUAGGGAAUCUUCCACAAUGGGCGCAAGCCUGAUGGAGCAACACCGCGUGAGUGAAGAAGGGUUUCGGCUCGUAAAACUCUGUUGUUGGAGAAGAACGUGCGUGAGAGUAACUGUUCACGCAGUGACGGUAUCCAACCAGAAAGUCACGGCUAACUACGUGCCAGCAGCCGCGGUAAUACGUAGGUGGCAAGCGUUAUCCGGAUUUAUUGGGCGUAAAGCGAGCGCAGGCGGUUGCUUAGGUCUGAUGUGAAAGCCUUCGGCUUAACCGAAGAAGUGCAUCGGAAACCGGGCGACUUGAGUGCAGAAGAGGACAGUGGAACUCCAUGUGUAGCGGUGGAAUGCGUAGAUAUAUGGAAGAACACCAGUGGCGAAGGCGGCUGUCUGGUCUGCAACUGACGCUGAGGCUCGAAAGCAUGGGUAGCGAACAGGAUUAGAUACCCUGGUAGUCCAUGCCGUAAACGAUGAGUGCUAGGUGUUGGAGGGUUUCCGCCCUUCAGUGCCGGAGCUAACGCAUUAAGCACUCCGCCUGGGGAGUACGACCGCAAGGUUGAAACUCAAAGGAAUUGACGG
rnacentral:rRNA from 1 species